GACGAACGCUGGCGGCGUGCUUAACACAUGCAAGUCGAACGAAGUGGCGAUCGGGUGAGUAAUACGUGGGUAACCUGCCCACCCCUUUGGUAUAAGCGUUAGAAACGAGUUCUAAUCACGUAUCAAGGGGCUUGGGCUGGCGGCCUUUCCGUUUGUUGGUUGGGUGAUGGCCUACCAAGGCGGUGACGGGUAGCCGGCCUGGGAGGAUUUCCGGCCACAUUGGGAAUGAGUGACGUUCCAGACUACGACGGGUGGCAGCAGUGGGGGAUAUUGCACGAUGAGCGGAAUCCUGAUGCAGCGACGCCGCGUGGGGGUUGAAUGCUUACGGGUUGUAAACCGCAUUCGCUAGCGAACGGGUAUGUGGAGAAGAAGCGCCGGUUAACUACGUGCCAGCAGCCGCGGUAUUC
rnacentral:rRNA from 1 species